ACUGCUCAGUAACACGUAGUCAACAUGCCCAGGGGACGUGGAUAACCUCGGGAAACUGAGGAUAAACCGCGAUAGGCCAAGAUUUCUGGAAUGAAUCAUGGCCGAAACCUAUAUGGCCCCUGGAUUGGACUGCGGCCGAUCAGGCUGUUGGUGAGGUAAUGGCCCACCAAACCUGUAACCGGUACGGGCUCUGAGAGGAGGAGCCCGGAGAUGGGCACUUAGACAAGGGCCCAGGCCCUAUGGGGCGCAGCAGGCGCGAAACCUCUGCAAUAAGCGAAAGCUUGACAGGGUUACUCUGAGUGAUUUCCGCUAAGGAAGUCUUUUGGCACCUCUAAAAAUGGUGCAGAAUAAGGGGUGGGCAAGUCUGGUGUCAGCCGCCGCGGUAAAACCAGCACCUCAAGUGGUCAGGAUGAUUAUUGGGCCUAAAGCAUCCGUAGCCGGCUCUGUAAGUUUUCGGUUAAAUCUGUACGCUCAACGUACAGGCUGCCGGGAAUACUGCAGAGCUAGGGAGUGGGAGAGGUAGACGGUACUCGGUAGGAAGGGGUAAAAUCCUUUGAUCUAUUGAUGACCACCUGUGGCGAAGGCGGUCUACCAGAACACGUCCGACGGUGAGGGAUGAAAGCUGGGGGAGCAAACCGGAUUAGAUACCCGGGUAGUCCCAGCUGUAAACUAUGCAAACUCAGUGAUGCAUUGGCUUGUGGCCAAUGCAGUGCUGCAGGGAAGCCGUUAAGUUUGCCGCCUGGGGAGUACGGUCGCAAGACUGAAACUUAAAGGAAUUGCGGGGGAGCAC
rnacentral:rRNA from 1 species